rnacentral:rRNA from 1 species
UACGUAGGGGGCUAGCGUUGUCCGGAUUUAUUGGGCGUAAAGAGCGUGUAGGCGGCCAUGUAGGUCCGGUGUGAAAACUCGAGGCUUAACCUCGAGAUGUCAUCGGAAACCAUUUGGCUAGAGUCCGGAAGAGGAGAGUGGAAUUCCUGGUGUAGCGGUGAAAUGCGCAGAUAUCAGGAAGAACACCAAUGGCGAAAGCAGCUCUCUGGGACGGUACUGACGCUGCGACGCGAAAGCGUGGGGAGCGAACAGG